AACGAACGCUGGCGGCAGGCUUAACACAUGCAAGUCGAACGCCCCGCAAGGGGAGUGGCAGACGGAUGAGUAACGCGUGGGAAUAUACCCUUUCCUGCGGAAUAGCUCUGGGAAACUGGAAUUAAUACCGCAUACGCACUACGGGGGAAAGAUUUAUCGGGGAAGGAUUGGCCCGCGUUGGAUUAGCUAGUUGGUGGGGUAAAGGCCUACCAAGGCGACGAUCCAUAGCUGGUCUGAGAGGAUGAUCAGCCACAUUGGGACUGAGACACGGCCCAAACUCCUACGGGAGGCAGCAGUGGGGAAUAUUGGACAAUGGGCGCAAGCCUGAUCCAGCCAUGCCGCGUGAGUGAUGAAGGCCUUAGGGUUGUAAAGCUCUUUCACCGGAGAAGAUAAUGACGGUAUCCGGAGAAGAAGCCCCGGCUAACUUCGUGCCAGCCGCCGCAGUAAAAC
rnacentral:rRNA from 1 species